AUCUUAUGUAUACUUCUCAAAAACCGAAUCGACAUCUCCUUUAGAUCUAGUAGUCAUCAUGAAUUUCAUCAAUUUAAAUGUUUCAGACGUUCUUAAUUCUCAUCUCUUUGUUGUAACGAUGAUUCAUGUCAUUUAUAUUAUUUGGAUCGUGUAUUUGUAUUUACCCUUCAAAUCAUUCUCUUUCUCUCUGUAAUCUCAGGAUAUGAUUUAUGGGAUGGAAUUCAGUGAUUCCUUUGAGUGUCUCCACCAUUCCAAAGAGGUUAUGGUGCAAGCCACUGUUUUCGGAUUUAAGAAAACGCGAGACCAGACUGAUGAAUCAUGUCUAGAUCAGAGACCAGAAUGAUGAAUCAUGUAUAGAUCACGGGAAAACCUGGGAGAGCCGGAGAGGUCAAGGUUCACGUUGGUUAUGUGGCUCAUAUCUCUUCUCUUUCUGAUUCUAUACACACAGAAGGUGUUAUUGUUGAGACUGAGACCACGCUAUAUGACUCUAAAUUAAUUUGAGGUUAGGUCUUUGGAGAAACGUGUUACACUGUUCCAGGAAGAAAGAGCAAACAGAAGGGACUCAUCAUCAUCCACGAAACAAUCCUACAAAUAUGUUUAACCAUGAGAUCAAGCAAAGACGAUAUGCAAUCAGAUUAUUGAUUUAGGUUUUAGGGGUUUUAAUAGACCUGCAAAGAUGUUUAUGUUUCUUAAUGUUUGGUUGCUCUUAUGGUGCAUGUAGAUUUGAACAGAGUAGGAGUUCCUUUUCUCGAGAUCGAAUCUUAACUUGAUAUGAGAAGUGGGAUUGGAGCCACUGAAUACACCAGUGAGAUGCAAUGGAUUGUGAGAGAGUAAUGGGAAUAUCCAAGAAGGCCCUCUCCACUGCGAUGCUAACAUCUCAAUCCGUCCAAUUGUGCAAGAUAAGUUUGGCACAAAAGUCAACAAGUUUCUUUCUUUCUUUGUCGUUUUAUUAUUCUGAGUAUAGCCAGUGAAGAGAUAUGAUCAACUCAUUCUAUUUUCAUUCGACUAUAUCUGGUUGAUGAUUCAAAUUUUUGUUGGUUCAUAGGUGGAAAUUAAGAGUUUGAGUGCGUAUCAGUUAUUAACAAGGAAGUCGACUAUGUGGUAUCAAGACAAGAACUUCUCUGCAACCAGGGCCAAGCCGACCAUAUUUUAAUGAGACAAGCGUACCAAGUUUAGUAUCUACAGAGCAAGAAUCGCCAACAAACAACAUAUGCUGUUAAAUCAUUAUAUUCAAAGAGAUGGUCCGAGUUAGCUUAUGAGUUGAAGAGAUCGAAAGCUGAAACAAGGUAUUGCAAAAAGGGUUAAUGGAUGAGAAGAAAUAAUAUGCAAAUAUGGGCAAAUGUAAGAAGAUUGAAUCAGAUUUAAUGGAAGCGAGUUGCAGAGCCUGAAAAGUGAAAUAGAGAAGAAAGUAGAAACACCAAACGCAGAAGCCAUAGAAGUUGAGCUAAGCAGAGUGAAGGUUUAGUUUGAGAAAUGGAGGAAAGCGGCUGAGACGGAAACUUCUCAUUACAUUCUGCUUUGGUCGGCGACGUGGGACUGCAGUCUAGAAGGGUGAGCCCGAUCUUGGGACAGUACAUUAACAAGUUUGUAUAUAUUGGUAGCUAAUUUUAAUAUAAUCCUUAUUCAACAUAUCUUGUGUUCUUUUAAGCAAAUUGAUUGUUGUUA